rnacentral:rRNA from 1 species
UACGAAGGGGGCCAGCGUUGCUCGGAAUCACUGGGCGUAAAGGGUGCGUAGGUGGCGCCGUAAGUCGGGUGUGAAAUUUCGGAGCUUAACUCCGAAACUGCAUUCGAUACUGCGGUGCUUGAGGACUGGAGAGGAGACUGGAAUUCAUGGUGUAGCAGUGAAAUGCGUAGAGAUCAUGAGGAAGACCAGUGGCGAAGGCGGGUCUCUGGACAGUUCCUGACACUGACGCACGAAGGCCAGGGGAGCAAACGGG